GCUAGAAAGAUGUUUUAUUCCUAUAAAAGUCUCCAGCAAAAUCAAUCAAACUGAUUCGCGGUUGGACCUAGUAGCUACAUAAUGCAGGUAGGAAUUUAUUGAUUUUUCCCUAAUCCUAUAGAAAUUAAAAUCUUGUUUGGAUGUUGUAUGAUUUAACUCAAAUCACAAAUGUUGGAGUGGAUUAUGGUAUAAUUUAAUUCAAAUUUUACUCUAAUCCACCCUAAUACAUAUGGAUUGGUACGAAUCCAACUCCAUCCAAAUAAGGUAUAAAAGGUUUUAAAUUACAUGUGUAGAAUUCAAUUCAUGCAUUCCUUUGAUUCUGGCACCAUAGGUUCUUAGGUACUAUGGUGCUUGACCCACAUUUAUAUAAUACAUUAUUAUAUCCCUAACGAGUGAAUUGUAUAUACUAGCUAAGUGUUUAUUUGUUUCGCUAUAUAAAUUAGAGUGGAUUGAAGUACAACCAAACAAGCUUUAAUAUAGCUCUAUAACUUUUUUUGGACAUAAAAUUUGUAACUUCAUGUUACAACUAUAUUAAAGUGGGCAACGGAUCUAGUGCAAACUCAUCUCCUGUGCAAACUAUGCAAACUCUAAUCUGGACCGCAGGAUGUUAAUCCAAGGGGGCACAUGAGAGAGGUGGAAGGAGAGAUUUGUAAAAGUGUGAUUAAGAGCGGGCGGUUAAGUGCAAAAUGACCCAAUCUCUCCGCACCCUUGGAUCAACAUCCUGCCGUCCAGAUUAGAGUUUGCACAGUUUGCACGUGAGAUGAGUUUGCACUAGAUCCGUUGCCAUUAAAGUGUGUUUGCCCUCCAAUCCACUUUUGGAAGAAAGUAGAGCUUUUGACUAAUCCUAUAUAUGUAUAUACAGGCUCGCAAAAAGGGAUAGAAAAAAAAUAUUCCUUAUCAUCGUUAGAGUAACCACAAUGUGUUUAAAAAAAUAUUCCUAGCAUCGUGUGAGUAGUCCAUAAUAAGGCAAUAACAAAAAUCACACGUAGCCUAGCUAGAAGCAGUAAACUAUUCUUUCUUUCUCUUUCUUUUCUCUCCCGCAGUCUGAUUCUCGGAGCUGUUGGAGGGCAUAGUUUUAUUUUUUUUUUUGUUGUAAGAGCAUCUCCAAGAGUCUUUUUAUAUUCUUCCUAAAUGUUUGGAAUAGAGAUUUUUGAAAAAUUACUCUUCAACAGUUUAUCUAAAUGGUCAUUCAAAUAUAGACAUCUUCUAUUUCGAUUUUUUUGCUAGCUAAAUAUAGAAGACGAGAAUGGAUCUUUAGAGUGCGUAUGAGAAAUAAAAUAACUGUUGGAGAGUGAAAAGUUAUAGAAAGUGAUUUUUAUGUAAAUGGCUCUCUAAAUGAUGAUUUGGAAAGUGAAAUUUAGAAAAACUCUUUGGAGAUGCUUAAGCUGAACAUUGUGAGAUUUGCUAUAACUACUGUCCGUUGUUGUGGGGCCCAACUAUAUGGACUAGGUGAUCUAAAAUCUAAAUACAUUGCCGAUACAUGCACGUUUGGAAGGUCUAUAUAAUUAGUAUAUUAUGUGACCAGUAAUAUGCUUUCCCGUAGUGUCUGCUUGUAUCUACUCUACAUAUAUCAUCAAAAGCUCUACUUUCUUGUUCCAACAGGUUCCAAGUAGUGUUCGGAUUUCUUUAAUUUUCAGCAUCAUUGAUGGUUUUAUUUAGGGCCGGCCGGCCGGCCGCGGCCGGUGAAGGUGCAACGCGGUAGACCAUCUCAUACAAAUAAGAUGCAUCAAUUGAGGUCAACGACGGCUCCAGCACAUCAUUUGCACGUUGCUGCAUGGCAACGUACGUGGUGGCUAGCUGGAUGCAUUAUUGCCCUUGAUUGCCCGGCAAGUUCGUAACAUGACAGUUGUAGGCAUGCAUCCAGCAGUACAUGCAUACUGGGCAGAGAAUUAGGCCUUGUUUAGUUUCUAAAAAUUUUCAGAAUUCUUCGUCACAUUAAAUCUUACGGCACAUGUAUAAUGCAUUAUAUAUAUAUAUAUAUAAAAAUAAAAACUAAUUGCACAGUUUGACGGUAAAUCACGAGACGAAUCUUUUAAGACUAGUUACUCCAUGAUUAGACAAUAUUUAUCAAAUAAAAAUGAAAAUGCUACAGUAUCGAAAUCCAAAAUUUUUUGAAAACUGAACAAGGCCUUAAUAAAAAGGCCAACACUGUUAGUGUUGAUAGGUGUCGGGAAUUUACUUAUAACGACAAUCUCCUACAACUAAAAAGAAUAAAGUGUGGACAUUUUUUGGUGCAACUUUUGGUUUGGUUCAUCCGUCUGCCUCCUGCGAUCCCCGUAGGCCUCGCUCAACCCCGCCUCACCCCGCUCGACAAAAUACGAAAGCUCCGCGUGAUUAGCUCCCCGUGCGAUAUCCUCUCCCCUGCAAAUGGAAACAAUCACCGCAGUUAAUCUCUAACGUCAACAAUUUUUCAUGCCAUAACAUUUUGGGACUGUCGUCUUUCUUUGUCUUGCGAUCUAGCAACAUCCUCCAGUGUCGACCCUCCGCAAUCUCCCGCAAUCAACGAUGAGCCAACCAAUUAAUCUAGCAGGAAAACACUAUUGUGCGACAUACCAAGAAGGAAACCAAUCACGCACCGCGCCACAAUCGUGCAUGUAUGCAUGAAAUCAAGAAGGAAACCACUAUCAACCACGCAAGGAUUAAAUCACACAAUCACCUCACCCUCAUGCGCAGCCAUCGCCACUUGCCCCUUGUGCGCUGCCCUGAGCCGGAUGGGAGAGGAGGACGCGCGUUGUGACGCCAUGUGAUCGUCCGGUGCAGCCUCGUCCGACGACGAGGUCGUCCUCGAGGCUCGAGCAGGCGAUGGCGGAGUCGUGGUGCCCGCAGGCACAUCAGUGCCCGCCGCCGUCUUCACUCGACCUCGACAACGAUAUCUGCUUUGCGAAUCACGUUACUCGUCUCUGCCAUUUCGCUUUGCCAAGGUAGAGACCACAGCAUCCCUUGCGGCUAGAGGUCGGCUCCUGCAUGCUGUAUGUAGUGCAGUUCAUAGGACAAAUAAACCUAUUAUUGCCAUGUGAUUAGCUGUUUCUUAGAGCAGUGAAGUGUCGGGAACCUAUAUCAUGCUGAAUGCUCACACUGGACAUCGUGUUCAUAUAUCAUGAUGUUCAGUCAUUCAGAAUUUGGAUUCGUCGAGUCAAACAGACAGAUUGUGAAGUUCCAAUAGAGUUUCGUCCUGCAGUCACUCAGCACUUUGCAAGUUUAGGUGAUGCCCAAUCUUGUUCUCUGUCCGACAAAUUCAGAUUUUUAGCUUUAGUCUUUGCAGUUUUUGCCUGCCUUAGUUUUGCAGUUUUUGCCUGCCACUAUUUCUGUCCAACAAAUACAGGUUGCGGUUUUUUUGAAGUCCACAAAAUAUGUAGGACAAGAGGAGCUAGCCUUACAUCUGAAGAGGAGCUUGGUAAUGGUAAAGGGAAGGCUUUAGUUCUAGCAAUUCUUGACUAUUAUAUCAGCAUGUGCAUAGUGAUAUUUUCAUCUUUGCAACUCUAAGAAAUAUGCACAAUGCUUUGAUAAGUUCCAUAUGUCCUUUGUAUUUGUUGGAUUAUUCAUUUAAUAUGUAGUUUUUGGUAAAAGCAAUUUUUUAUCUGGAGAUGAUUCUUGAGGAGCUGCAAAAGUACGUGUUUCAUAUCCUUGAUGCAAAUGCAAGAUGGGAUUUGUUGCGAUCCAAAUGUAAGAGCCAAUGUCUAUUUGCUUUCCAAUUUGCUUCAAAGUACAUUACUAUGAAUCAUCUAGAAUAAUCAUGAGGUUUCCUAUUUUUUCUCCGAUGUUUGCAGAUGCAUGGGACUGAGUGGUGGGUCGAAGCAAACCUAUUUAUUAGCUAUGUCAUUAUCUUAUCUACGUCCUUAAUUAUAUCUGAUUUUGCAUGAGAUGGCCAAAGAAUGCAAAUGAUUUGGUUAUUUUAGCUAUUGGCUUAUCAUGGAAAUUUUAAGAUAAUUUCAAUCUACAGGAUUACAACACUAUCUUAAGUGUAUACAGACCAAAUAAUCGUAAGGAAUAUCUGAAUACAACUGAUAUGAACUAGAUUAUUGUUUUGAUUUCUUGUCAAGGUCAAGUAUUGCUUGGUGUGUUUCAGAUCGAAGGUUCAUUAUUUGCAAUGCCUACCAUGUUCUCGAUAAUAUUGCCUAUUAAUACUUUUUUCAUGAUAAUCAAAACUAUCUUUAUUAAACAUUAAUGUUAUCCUACCGUGCGAUCCGUGUAUUUUUUAUACAAAAGUUUUAUUGUCCCGUAGCAACGCACGGGCAUACUACCUAGUACUAGUAGAAAGCUAGAGGACACCUGUCGAAUUGUCGAUGUUUGGACUCGCGGCCCAAACAUUAACUACAUACUCUAAAUUUGGAUGAUGAUAUAGGAAGAACACAAGAGAUUUAUACUGGUUCAGACGAAAAAUACCCUACAUCUAGUGUGAGGAGGAGAUUUGUAUUAUCCUACACGAAGUGCUUGUAGUAGGGGUUACAAGCGGGAUGCGAGAGAGGGAAUGAGUCCCAAGUCUUGUCUCUAAGUGAGUCGUGUGUGUAUGUGUGUGUUCGCAUUGUAGUGUGUACUGAGUUGCAGUGACUUAGCGUAUGUGACUUAGCCCGUGUCUCUUGAAUGGGACCCUGUCCCUCCUUUUAUAGUCUCAAGGGAAAGUAGGCAAUACAUGUGUACGUGUCGUGGUAUUACGGUCUUAGCACUAGGCGUGGGACGAAGCAUGGCGUCGUAUAGUGACGGUGGAGCUCUCCAUUCCUUGCGUUGUAGCUGGUCAUGGCCGUUGUAUGGGUGUGCUCUCUCCUACUGUGUUCGUGUCGAGCCACACCGACAUUGUAGAUGAGAUGUCCGUACCUGUAGUAGCCAUGCCGACCCCUGUUCCUCAUCCUGUGUUGACCUCCAGAGGCCUCUUCUCUGUGGUUCGUACCCUGGAGUUCUGACGGGCUCAUGGCUACAGGAGCCGGAUUUGACAUUCCCCGUCAUCCAUGGGCUUGGUUGUACGCACAAUGACGGUAGCAGAUGUUACAGUGACGGGGGCACAGUAUCUAGCAUGCUCUGCUCUGCAUGGUGUGGGUGUGGGCGUACAGAUGUGCCCCGCAUCCCAUCUAUGGUGUUGUGGCCUUGCCGUCGCGGGAAAGCCUCGAGCGCUCCAUCGGGAACAAGGCGCCCGAGCUUGGGGCUCCGACGAGGCGGAGAUUAUUUGGUCUCGUCCGAGGCCCGGUUAGGUCUCGGGUGAGAUAGAACUUGCCUCGUUUCAUCCAAGGCUUAGUUGGGUCUCGGGCGAGACGGAUUUAGUAGGCCCAGUUGUCUUUCUUGCGAGCGACUGCUUGACCCUUCUAACCUAUUGUUAUUUUGUUUUAAAAAGAGAAAACAUGGUCUUGAGCUUUGUGCUUUGGGUACGGGUUAUGGUACCCGACAAUACCUUUAUUCCAAUAAUGUUCCUUUUUAUUACUGAUCUCACAUUAUUGUUUAGCUUUCGCUUGUCAUGGUCAAAAUUUUCCUGGUCUAGAAGUUCUAAGGGGGUGUGUUUUUUCAAAGGAAAUUUUCAGUUGAAUUUAUUAGAUACUGUUUGAGAAUCUUUUUUUUUCUAGAAAAUGAAACUGCCUUUGCACACUACUACAAAAAAUAUUUACCGCGACCUUUUCAAAACUCUCUCCAAGACGGGCAGGAAUGUAAACCGCCUCGGUUAAUGCCUAGGCGGUCGCUUUUUAUUAACCGAGACGGUUAAAAGAAACCGCCUCGCAAAAUCUAUUUACGAAGGCGGUUUUUAUAAAAGAGCCCGCCUCCAGAAUUAGCCCUAUUAACCGAGGCGGGCAGGUUAUAACGCCCGUUUCGGUUAAUAUUUUCGAGGCCCAAUAGAUCCAGGCGAGGCCCAAUAACUCUUCACAGUAUAUAUAUGCCAAACCCUAGCACUCACUCACUCCCACUCCCUCACCAGCCACACUCACCACCACACUCCCUCUCUCUCUAUCUCACUCGGGAGUUCAGGACGCCGGCCUCCCUCCCCUCCUCUCCCUUCCUCUCUCUCUUCUCCCUUUCUCACUCCUCUCCCUCACUACAACCGCACAGAGGCACGGUCUCGCGAGCACGGACGCGCGGAGCGGCGGAGCGGAUGCGCGGCCUCGCGCGGCGGUGCGGAUGCGCGGCACGGAGGCGCGGGGCGGCCUCGCGGGCACGGAUGCGCGGCGCGGCGGUACGGCCUCGUGGACACGGAGGCGCGGCGCGGCGGCCCGGCCUCAUCUCCCCUCCCGGCGGCGGCGCGUGGAUGGGCUUGCCGGGCCCAUGGAUGGGCUCGGCGGGCCUAUCCAUGGAUUUUAUUUUUUUUCUUUUUUUUUAACCGAAACGGGCAUGGAAACCACCUUGAUUAAUGCUUGGUUUACUGCGACCUUUCAAUGAAGGCGUUUUGUUUGCCCGUCUUGUAAAAUUCAAAACGCCCGUCGCUGUUAAUAAUUUUUGUAGUAGUGGCAGCUGCUAGCUAGUAUCUAAGCUAGGAUAUCAUGAUCACCCUUUGGCCACAAAAAGUUCGAUCAAGCACGCAUCACAUUCACAUAUAUAGCUUGCUAUAUAUACAAAGCCUGCCAUAUGCAUAAACCAAAGAAACAUCAAAUCCUUUCACACAUCAAACAUAUAUUAACCCCAUGACUGAUCCGUUGUUAAUUAGUGGAUGGUCGUCGUCAAAUUAUUUCACACAUCAAACAUAAAACCCAGAUUAAUUAAUUUCCCGUAUAAAUCCUACCAAAUUAAAGCCAAUUAGUAAACAAUUUGAUAUAUAGCAUGGCUGCUGGAUAUUAUUCGACUAUUUUAUAUAGGGAUAUAUAGAGCGUGUGUGUGCGUUUAUAGAAGUGAAUGUACGCUCGUGUUUGUGAGCGUCUGCAUCUGUAAUUAGAUCUCGUAAAAAAAACACAAAUAUAAGCAGUUGGCAGGGAAUUAUAAUGUCUCUCUCUCCCGAACCCAAUUGAUGACUCAUAUGUAGCUUCCUCUUCUUUUUCUUUGUCAAAAUUGACUUGGAUCUAAUUAAGAUAGAAACAUGAGGUCAAAUGGCUGAUAUAUAAAUAAAACAGAAACUAACUGCUCUACCUGACUCGAUCCAACGACACGUCGUAUUCUAACCUUACUUUUUUUUCUUUAUUUUUUAAAAAUAAAGUCUAAUUAUUGUGCCUAGCUUUUUCCAUGGUUUGUAACCACUCCCUUAUAUUUCUUGUACAAGCACUCCACCUCAAUCAGGCUACAAGUCCUACUUUUGCUAGUUUCCGGUCAGAAGAAGCCAUAGCCAGCAAGAAGAAGCCAUAGCAACAAGCUAAGUGGGGAACUAAUAAAGAAGAACAGCUAGCGGUGCAUAAUCAGAUGCGAAGAAUCGAAGCUGAUUUUUUGAAUCAUAUACCUUUCCUGCUUCAUCAAUCCAGUUGAGACUUGAGAAGAGAGGUUGGAGGAGAGUUCAAAAGAAGGUCAAAGUGAUCAAGAAGCUUAUUGAGCUGCCGGCAUCCGCACUGGUGUAGCAGGUGAUUGCAUGCAUGGGGGAUAGGACAUGGCAGCAACCACAUGAGCAGCCUCAAGCUUACCCAGACGCAGGGACGAUGGUCCAAGCUUCAUCCUCCUCCGUCCAUGGCAGCAUCAUGUAAACCCUAGCACACAUAGCAAGAUACAUAGCUGUAGAUUCGAAUCUUGUUCUGUUUUAUUGCGAAUAGAUACGUAGAAUUGAAGAUCGUUUGCUCUAUUUUCUUGCUUGCCUCUCUUCUAAUUUCUGAAGCAUAUAUAUGAAUAUUUUCUCGUGCCUUAUAUAUGGCCCUUAGUUUCUUCUCUGGUUUUCGUCAUCUUUUUCGGCCCUGUGUGCUUCAACUAAGUUAUUUUCAUGUCGCGGUUAUGAUUAUUAGCUACCUACGCAGGCAUGAUUUAUUGGGUAGCAUAUAUAAUCAUCUAUCUACUAUACUUCUGGAGAUUAUGAAUGAAAUUGGGCGUCCUAGCUAAUUUUUAAAAAUGAUUCUUUCUUUAAUUAGUCUGUACUUGCAUAUGUAAUAUGCACUAUUCAUGACGUAUGUUCAGAGAGAAUGUCAUGCUGUAAGUCUGUAACCAUGCAUGCAAGCUAUCAAAACUUUUUAAAAUACUUUUUAUUAAUUAAUUAUGAAAUGUAAAUUCAAUCCUAUCAAAGUUAACAGUGGUCCACGGUUUUCCCCUUCUACUGAACUUUUCCCACAAGAUGGAAAUGAAUUGUGUCCCCAUGGAAAUGUUAGCUUACAUUAAUUUAUUCAUUAUUGGUAGCAUUUCCGGUAUAUCAUUUUAGUAUGUAACUGACCAAACUAAAAUGGUGAUUGAUAUCAACUUAAUUUAUAAUUCUGUGUGUAUUAAUUUGUGCAAGUGCAGCAGAAAGGAACCUGGAGGCGGAUAUGACAUGGCCGAAUUCGAUCAAGCGCUCUUCCUCUAUCUUAACAGCCAGGAUCAAGCAUCAGUUAUUCAAGAUCAACCUCGUAAGCCACACUUAGCUUAUGCAUAUACAUAGCUGUAUAAGGGGCUAGAGCGAAUAAACUUUUUCCCUAUCAUAUAAUUAAACUUUAUUUAUUGCAUCAUAGGUUGAUCAAUAAUUAAACAUAAACAUGUCAUUUAGUCAUGCAUAUAUCUACCCUGAUUGGACAUGGCAAAACAAGAAUGAGCGAGACAAUGGCAUGAUCAAACCUCUCAAUCGUUUUUCCUUCUUUUUUGUAUGCAAAGCUUGUUCUGUCUGAGUCUGACAAAAGCCAAUUUAUUUCGGAAAAGGAAAAAGAAAGAAUCCCGGCUAGUUCAAGGAGAGUGACAUUUAACAAACACAUGCUCAUGUAUGUGUGUUCAUUCUGGUGGAAUAGGUCAUUUUCUUUCUGCUCAAAUAAGGCAGUUAGGCAGAGAUAUGAUUUCUCACUGUCCAAAUAUCUUUUACCACAUAUCUACUUCCAACAAACUAUGUACACGCAUAUGUGCAUGCAUUUUUCCCCCUUGUCCGUACUCCUAUACAUUUAUUCUUCGCUUUUUAACUAUAUAAUGUAUAGGACAAGUUAAUAAAUUAGUUCAAUGAUAUGGUGUGUCAUGAAUUAGCUUACAUCAUUCUCAGGAGGAUGUAAAGCAAUAAUUUCAAUCCUUUGGCAAAAAGCUAGAGAACCCCAAACUCAUGGAUCAUUAACAAAGCAUCAUCAGUCCGUUUUUUCCUCUACCGUUGUACAAGCUGCCCUCUAUGGCUUUGAUUUUUUUGUUGUACUUUUAGCUCAUAUUCUAGUAGUAGCUGUAGGGGCUGUGCUGUGUUAGAUCCCAAAGCAGUUGCACGGCUGCUUGUGUUUUUUCCCUUGUUUUUUUUUUUUGUGUUGUUCUUGUUUAGUUUGGUCACUGUCUUUUCCUUCUAAAGUUCUAAUAAUAAUAUAACUCUCUAUGUUGCCGUUUUAUAAAAGAUAAAUUAGUUCAAUGGACUAAUUAGCUUUGUUGUAAUAAAAACGUCAUGUGUAUAUAUAUAUAUAUAUGGGGUUCAUGCUAGCUGUUCAUGUUUUGGCAUGCAGAAACUCUCAACAUCUUCCCUUCUCAGCCAAUGCACGUCGUCGAGCCUGCACCAAAGGUACGUACGUAUACGUACGGUAUACAUGCAUCUGCUAGUCUCUAAUUGAUCGUCUUUCUUCUCAUGAGCUUUAUAAUUUCUAGCAGGGAGGAUCCAUGGGAACUAACAACACGGCAUCGAACGCCGCCGCCGUCGCUGGCUCGUCGUCCAAGCAGCAGCAGCAGCCGCCGCCGCCGCCGCCACCGCCAAAUAAGGACGGCGGCAAGCCGGCCGCCGUCAAGGUUAAUUAGUUCACUUACCCGGCCUGACCGUUCCGUCUCCUAACCUAUCUGAUGAUGUGCCAUUGUCGUCGUCGUCGUCGUCAGAGAGAAGGGAGCGGCGGCGGCGCCGCCAUGGGAAGCGGGACGCCAUCGACGUCGAAUAAUCGACAGGAGGGCCGCCCCAGGACUUCAGACGCCAAGACGCUAAGAAGGCUCGCGCAGAACAGGGAGGCCGCCAGGAAAAGCAGGCUCAGAAAGAAGGUAUUCAUCCUGCGACUAACCAAGAAAGCGAGUCCUAACAAAACCAAGAAAUUGGUGAAAUCACCUCAAAGAAAAAAAUGGUGAAAUUAACUUUAGAUUUUUCAUGCAUGAGAUGAUUCCCAUUUCCUGUUUCCCAUAUCAUUUCUUUCAUGGCCUGGAUAUAUAUUUGGUUAAUGUUCGUUUUCAUUUGCCCCUUCUCUCUAAAAUACAAUCAAUCGUAGGCUUACAUUCAGAACCUAGAGACAAGCAGGAUUAGGCUGACCCAGCUGGAGCAAGACUUACACUACAGAUCCAGAACUCAGGUAUAUUGAACGAACUGAAAACAAACAUAUCCUAAAUUCAUAAUAAUGUAUUUCCAACUUUAUGACUAAGAAGAGAACCUGAGGUAUAUAUACCAUAUAUCCAUAUAUAUAGUAGGAGUGCUUUAACAAUCUUUAUCCUUAUACUUGUAUAUAUAGCUUGAUUACAGUUUUUGGAAUUAACAUGAAGAAGCAGGGAGGCCUGCCAAAAAGGAACCUAUCUAAUAAUUUGAUAUAGUUAUAUUAUUAUUACUAGGUAACAUUUUUAAGGAAAAAACAACAACAUAGGCUUAUUAUAAAAGACGGCAAAAGUGAAGAUAAUAUUAUUAUAUUGUUCCAUACUAUAUACUUUCAUAAACGUACUGACUGAGCUUGUUCCGUGUGCAUUUCGACAAACAAAUCAACCAGGGAGCAGUGUUCGGUGGUGGAGCUCUUUCUGGUUGCAGUGGCGGACUAAGCCCAGGCAUGCAUUCAAUUCAAAACCUAGCUAGCUAGCUAAACUGCUCGCAUGCAUGCGUGCAUCUUAGCUCUUACUCCCUUCGUUCGAAUAUAAUUAUAUAUGCAAUUCUCAUGAGUCAAACAAUUUAAAUUUUAACUAAAAUUAUAUAAAAAAGAUACAAACACUCAUGAAACAAAAAAUAUAUCAUUAGAUCAGUUAUAGAAUAUAUUAUUUUUAUAAUAAAUUUAUUUAGAUAUAUAAAUAUUAAUAUUAUUUUUUAUAAAUUCAAUCAAAGUUGAGCUUGUUUGACUGACAUGCUUUUUGUAAUUGUAUUCUUUUUUUAAGAUGAAGGGAGUAUAUUACACAUUCCUAAGUCCUACAUGCUAGCUCCUUUUUUAUAGACUAUCUCUCUUGCAUGCAUUGCACGUUUACACGUUUAUUACAAACAAGUUGAUGAAUCUUGCAAUCACCCCAUGAGCAGAGGCGGCAUGGUUCGACAUGGAGCACGCGAGGUGGCAGGAGGAGCACGGCAAGAUGAUGCGCCACCUGCGGGCGGCGCUGGAGGCGGAGCACGCGGCGUCGGCGGCGUCGACGUCUACGGCGGCGGAGGCACAGCUCCUCCGGCAGCUGGUGGACGCGGCCGCGGCGCACCACGGCGUGCUGGCGGAGCUGAAGGCCGUGGCGGCGAGGGCCGACGCGUUCCACCUCGUGUCCGGCGCGUGGGCGUCCGCCGCCGAGCGCUGCUUCCUCUGGAUCGGCGGCUUCCGCCCUUCAGAGCUCAUCAAGGUUAGUUUUACCUUUAAUUAACCAACAACUGGUUGGCACACACUACUACGUAGAGUAGUUCGUUAACUUCGUACCACCUCUGCAUUGCUACCUCAAGAGUCAAGACUGAAAAUUGAAAACGCUGAGCUCAAAUUUCUGUAAGCCGCAUGAGCUCACGGGCUACACUCAUCACGUCUGAUAAACCAAUUGUGCGUGCUACUCGAUCCUUUCUUUAAUUGGUGUUCCCAAAUCAAGUCCACGAAAUUAAUUAGUACGUGCAUUGCGUGUCUUAACUUUGACCCACACAAUGACACACACAGUUCCAGCCUAAGCUGCCUCCUCCUUGUUUUUGGUACACGAGGCAUGCAUGCAUGUCUCACGACGACUCACGGCUCAUGAGUGAGGGUGACAGCUAUGCAUAUAGGGCCUUGUUUUAGUUCGAAAAGAAUUGCAAAAUGAAUAUAGUAACAUUUUCGUUUGUAUUUGACAAAUAUUGUCUAAACAUGAAUUAAUUCAGCUUAAAAGAUUUGUCUCGCAAAUUACAGGUAAACUGUAUUAUUAGUUAUUUUUUAUUUAUAUUUAAUGCUCUAUGCAUGUGCCGCAAGAUUCGAUGUGACGAGGUCUGAAAAAUUUUGCAAAAAAUUUUAGAAACUAAACAAGGCCUCUGUACGUACGUGCUGAUGAUGUAGGACAAUAAUGAUAUACACACAUAUAAAUAUAUAAAAUACAUAUGAAAAGGUUAAGGAUUCAUAUGCUAUUUGGUACUAAAAAUGGACAGAGACAUUAGGUAAAAGCAGUAUCAAUGGAAUAUGGUGGAUUAGCUAGCUGAUUAGGUAGGUAAGAAGUCCCAGUUACGUUGAUGGGAACAGUUUUAGGCCUUUGGGAAUUGUCUUCGGACUUUUCUAUAUAGUACUAUAGCAGCCAUCUACUACUACUAUGUGACUUGGUACUUACUGCAAUUGCAACAGGGUAGUAGGUUAGAUGGGCGAUGGAGACGGGUUUGGUUAACUUACCUACAACACUGCAAAGGACCUGCUUGGCCUUGACACAUGCAUGUAUGCCUUUUGGCUUCUAGAUGGAUUGGUUGGAACAUGCAACUUGGGAACGACCAACAACCCUGCAUGUUUUACAAUAGUACAAAAAAAAGGUCCCUAUUACAACUCUAAGUAUAGGUAGAUGUGUCUCUAUUCUCUGUGUUUAGAUGUUUUCUAAAUUUUUUGGUCUGUAAGCAUAAGACACGGGCCCCUAAGCAAGUUUACAUAGUAUGGGGCUCCAAGGUCCUAAAUUCCAGAUCUUUACAGCCUAAGUCACUACUACAGAUUUUUUUUCUAGAGGCGGGCGUUUUUUAUUUUCAGAGGCGGGCAAAAGCAACCGCCGUCAAUAUAAGGUCACGGUUAAUCGUGACUUUACAGAGACGGUUAUCCUGCCCGCCUCCAUUAAUCGAUUAGUGGAGACGGUUAUCUUAGAGCGGCCAUCGCGGUUAAUGAAUAUUAAAAAAGCAAGCCCAAUCGAGCCCGCCGCUGCGCUCUCGCGUCCGCGGCGCCGCCGUAUGCGUUGUCACCGCUGGGGCCUGAUCCGCAGCUCUCUGGUGGCCGGAUCCGCGACCGGUACCUAUGCUCCUCGCUGGAUCUGCCGCCAUGGCCCCUUGUCGAGGCAGCUCGCGUCGCCGUGUCCCCUGGUUGGAGCAGCCCACGCCGUCGUGUCCCCUUGUCGAGGAGACCUGCGCCACCAUGUCCCCUCGUCGUGGUGGAUCCGCAUCGUCGUGGCCUCUCGGCGCCGCCGUGGACCCUCCUCGAAGCAGCCCGCCCUACAGAGAGGAUGGGGAGGGGAGGAGAGGGGAGCGGCGGCGAGCUCUGAGGGGAGGGGAGGGCGGGGCGUCGAGCUCUGAGGGCAGCGAGCUAUGAGCAGAGUGGAGGGGGAGGGGAGGAGAGAUGGAGUCGACGUUUGAAGGAAAGGGAGGGGUAUGGGCGCGUGCGGCUGCGAUGGUGGGAGUGGGAGUUAGGGUUUCCUGAUGGAUUUAUAUAUAUAUUGGAGUUGGUAGUGGGCUGGUAUGGGCUAGUGGGUUGGACUACAUUUACAGAGACGGUUGAAUUAGAAUGCCCGCCUCGGUUAAUGAUUUUCUGAGGCGGUUACGUUAAAAUGCCUGCCUCGGUUAAUAUAUAUUAACCCAGGCGGGCCAGUUAGGUUGACCGCCUCCGUAAAUCGAUUUUGCGAGGCGGUUUUCUUUGACCGCCACGGUAAAUAAAAAAUAACCGCCUCAGUUAAUUCGAAGUAUUAACCGAAGUGGUUGAAAAGAUUGCCCGCCUCCGAGGCUCUUUUGAAAAGGUCUCGCAAAAUAUUUUUUGUAGUAGUGAGUUUUACAGACCCCUGUUUAGAUCCAUUCUUUCAAAAAGUUCUUAUUUCUUCAAAAGUUUUGGCUGCAUCUAAACAGGGCCAUACAAGGGGAACUUUUUUUUUUCUUAAACUAUCAAACUUGCAAGCGCAGGCGAACUUUUUCUUAAACCAUCAAGCUCUGCUUAUUGUAUGUAUUGUUGCAAUAGGAUGUAUCAUUUUACUUAGUCACUUAGACCAAUUCAUGAUAAUGGUAAUUAGCUAAUUAUCUUUAUUGGAUUUAAUUAGGCUUGGCUGGAGCUUAUUUCGACUACAUCAGAAAAUGUGGCAUAAAAUCUAAGAAAAUAGGUCACCAAACUUUGUAUCCAAGUUUGUCGUGCAACAGUGUGUUUUUCUAAAAUUUUAUAUAAUGUCCGGGUCAUUUUUAUAGAAUUUGGCUAAACUUGAAAUCUAUGGAAUUAAAACAAAAGGUAAAUCUCUUUCUCCCUUCCUCACUUCCUCUAGGUUCUUAGAGCAAGUCUAGUAAAGGGAUGUUAGUGGUUGUAUCGUUGUAGGCUUAGAUAGAGGAGAGAAGACAGAUGAGAGUGGAGAAGCUUCGUGAGAGACUUUGUGAGAGAGACUCUUGUAUCUAAGCCACCCACCUGAUUCGCUUGAAGACUCAAGAAGAGGCACUACUCUUUGAGUAGCGAAGAUCCAAGGGUGUGCAACACACAUCAUGCAUAUGCGCUACCAGCUACUCUCUGUCCUGCAUCUCUCUACACACGCGUGCCCCUCUGAUCUUCUCUUCUAUGAUGGCAACAUUUUAGCACUAGAGCGACAUAAAAUACAAACUAUGAAUAAAAAACAAUUAACAUCUUUAUUUGAACAGUCACAGAAAAAUAGCAUAUUAUAGUGAAGGAAUUAAUCUCAUAUAGAAACUCGACUAGAUAUUGACCUAGUUUAAAUAGAUGGCUAUUAUGUGUAUCUAUUGUAAGGUUAAGAAAGGUGAAAUGUGGCAUGGGCUCGAGAAUCGAGGCUACAGUAUGAGUGUCGCGACAUCAAUAAAGGUUUUGCAUUCUACCAUUCUACCGUAACCAACUUAGUGUCCUAGGAGGAGGAUAUAAUUUAUCUGUAGUUCCAAACUAUAAACAUCGUUUGUCACCUAUGCCUUCAAACUCUAGGUCUAUGUUUGACACUUGUGAAGGCAAGAAGAGUUCUACUGAAGGUAAGAAGAGCUAGAGUGAGAAACGACAGAUCAAAGGAUGGGAGAAGAGGUACGUGGGACAAACGGUAUAGAGUGAUGAACUUCGAGACGUGAGAAGAGAAAGUGGAUGUUAAAAGUUCAUGUUCACAUUUACCUACCGGUAGUUCAUUAAUGUAAUGCUGAACAUCAUAAUGGAGUAUAUUCAUAUGUAUAAUACUCCCUCUGUGUCUUUCUAGAGUUGUUUUAAGUUAAAUAUUUUAAAUUUUAACCAAAUUUCUAGAAAAAAAUGCUAAAAUUUAUGAUAUCAAAUUAGUAUCAUUAGAUUCAUCAUAGAAUAUAUUUUCACAUGAUACACAUUUUUUGUCAUAAAUGAUGUUAUUAUUUUCUAUAAAAUUAGUCAAAUUUAGAAAAGUUUGAUGGCACGGAUGGAGGGAGUAUACUAAUAAAAUUACCGAGGGAGUAUACUAAUAAAAUUACUUUUGUGCGUGCUUCUUUCAUCAUGGUUAAGCUGUCCAGAUUUCACUUCAAUUAUUUAUUAGUGCUGCUAUUUUUUUCCUCAAAAUUUAAAAGAGUACUAGUCUACUAGAUAUCAACCAAUUAAUCAACCAGUAUGCAUCCCGACGCAGAUAGCGGCCCGGCACGCGGAGCCCCUGACGGAGCAGCAGGCGAUGGGCGUCUGCGGCGUGCAGCAGUGGGCGAGGGACGCGGAGGCGGCGCUGGACCACGAGCUGCAGGCGAUGCACCGCUCCGUCUCGGAGGCCGUCUCCUCCGACGCGGCGGCGCUGCUCUGCCCCUACUCCGACGUGCCCGGCUUCAUGGCCACCAUGUCCCUCGCCAUCAGCAAGCUCGCCUCCCUCGAAGCCUUCGUCAGACAAGUAAGCAAAAGCUCUUGGUUGUGUGUGUCUUUCCCAUGUGAAACACGGUAACAGCAACAAUGGUGAACGCGUGAUCGAUCGGUUGCAUUGCAUUGCAGGCGGACGCGCUUAGGCUGCAGGCGCUGCACCGGCUGCCGCAGAUCCUGACGGCGCGGCAGUCGGCGCGGUGCUUCCUCGCCAUCGCCGACUACUCCCACCGCCUCCGUGCGCUCAGCGAACUCUGGCACACCCGGCCAGGCCAAGAUCCAGCGGCGAGCAACCUGGCGGCCGGGCCCAGCAGCCAGAGACCGCCCUACCAAAGUAGGGACGGUUUACUAUAGACAUAUAAUAGUCUGGGAUAGUUUCAGAGAUACAUAUACAGUUGAUCACUGAUCAGUAGUAAUUCAGAUGACCCAUUCCUCGCUUAUUUAUGAAGGGUAAUACUAAGGCCUUGUUUAGUUUGUAAAAUUUUUGGGUUUUGGCUACUGUAGCACUUUCGUUUUUAUUUGACAAACAUUGUCCAAUCAUGGAGUAACUAGACUCAAAAGAUUCAUCUCAUAAAUUACAGGUAAACUGUGUAAUUAGUUUUUAUUUUCGUCUAUAUUUAAUGCUCCAUGCAUGCGACCAAAGAUUCGAUGUGACGGGAAAUCUUGAAAUUUUUUGCGAACUAAACAAGGCCUAAACAAGGCCUAAGUAGUAGCUGAUUCAGCAGUAUGGAUAUGAAAUAGUGGGAAGGAAUAACAACUGAAACUGCCAAAUUGCCAAGCUGAUUCAGCCAGGCGCCAGCAUUGACAUGUCAAACACUCAGAAGGUGUAGCAUUCAGAUUGAUACAUGGUGAGAAACUAAAUUAUUGCAGAACAAUUGCCAAAUAAUGGGGUGCUACAUGCUACAAUUGUCAUGUACAAAUACAACCAGCCUCCCUCCAAAGUCCGAUCUCAGUGCGAGCAGUUAAGUUGCAGCCGACACAUUGUAGUUAAAAAAAAAAACCUUCGGUACAGGGUGUAUCUAGUAUAUGAAAUGCGGUUAUAGGGUUCAGCUGAUGUCGCAACCCCAAAUUCAGAACAGUCACACAACAUCAAGUGCCAUCACAAGGAUGACUUCCCUCUCACCUUCUGGUGCUACAAUCUGUCAAGGGCGUCAAUGAUGGCCUUGCGAAAUGCAUCAUUGUGGAGGAAAAAAGAGGAAACAUGGCCGCCUGUUACCCACCGGACUUCUGAGCCUGGCCAUGCCUUCUGGAGCUCCAUGACUGAAUGUCUGGGAAUAUAACCGUCAUCCUGUAAAGAGAACAUAGCUCCAGAUUAGAAGAAGAAUGCUCCAGAUAAAUAUGAAUGCUGAGUAAGAAAUCGAACCCUCUGAAAUAAGGAGGUAAUUUAACCAAUCUUCAAAAAAAGUACUCAAGUAAACUAUCUGCUAUCAAUGUAUGUUUCAAUUUCUCAACAUUGCUCAAGCAAGCUAAGGUAACCUGCUGUUUGGUAAAAGACAUAUUUUGAGUACUCACACCAUUUCCUUUUAUAAGCUGUAAUAGGAUUUGAUAGUCUUUCAAGAUAAUCUUUGACCAUUAAUUUCUUAGUGUAUAAGCAACUACAAAUAAACAUCCUACUAAAAGGCAUAAACACAAAUCUAUUGAUAUAUCAUGGUGCACUAAACACACAUAUAUUUUGACUAACUGAUGAUCCGAGUUUGUAGUGUUUGACUUUUUUUUCUGUGAAAACUAAUACACCCUGCAUUUUGAAAUGGAAGGAAUAGUAAAGUAGGCAGUCACCUAGUGACAUAAUCUGAUCGUGGUUAGUGGUUACUCUGCCAAAAUCAUGAAACCAAGUAAAAAGAUGAGCAGGAAAACAAUUAUGUUUUUUGAGAUAAUAAACUGAUGUUAAAAGGCCAUAAAGCUCGGAGAGCAUCACUAACCGUUGCACCAACAAAGAUGACCGCCUGUGGGUUCUUUGGGACUGGGAAUCGAGUGACAUCAGUCAAAGACAACACUGACCGCAACCUAUCUCUGACUUGUUCGAUAGUAAUCCCAGUUUUCUGUGCAGCAUCUUCUGCCAAAGAUGUUACAUCUUGAGUUAAUGCUGCAGCAUCUUCUCUCAAAACAUCCCAAGCUGUGGCGUAUUUGUAGACCCCUUCACAGAAAGGUACCACUGCAGAGUGUGGAGCGAGAAAUGGCAGUGUGGCAAUUGGUGUAGGAUGCAGGGAUCCCACCAUUGCAGCAUGUACUCCACCUGUGACAUCAGCAAAGAAACCAUUUGAGAAGAAUGCACAAGAGAUCUUGUAAAAUAAAACCAGAAAAAAUACAAUAACAGAUGGUUUUGACAAAUAGGCUGCUACAUGAUUUCUAAGAAGCACUUAUUCAGUCAUCGGGAAAACCAGUAAUUUUAGCAGUGCUUGAAUUUAGGUACUUGAAUGUCAUGGAUUCACAGAAACAAGUGUCUUUGAUGGUGCCUCCCCCUCACGCUUGAUGGCUUAUCAGUAUUUCAAAGAGGACAUGAGAUUAUGGGGCCUAGCUGGAGCUAGAGACCUUCUGGACUAGUCCAGGGUAGGGUUGUUCCUUGCUCUAUUUUGUUUCAGGUGUAUGUUAUCCCCCCCCCCCCUCCCCCCCCCCCCCCCCCCCCCCAAGUCUUUUAAGGUCACCCUUUCAUAUUCCCUUGUGAAAUAAGGGGGUUGUGUUGUAUUGCAUGGGAUCCCUUCCUCCCUCCCUCUCUCAUACAAAGAUACGCAGACCUCCUGCGUGUUCGGGGGUAAAAAGGAAAACCAGUAUUACAUACCCAUGCUGAGCCCGCAUACGCCCAUCUUGCUGUAACCAGCCUCGGUCUGCAGCCAGUACAGGAGACUGCGAGCUUCAUCAAUUGUGGCUUUCCCUAAAAGUAACAGGUCACUGACACACUGGAGCUUUGCACCACGCUGCAUGCUAGGACGUCGCUGUCCAUAAUAGGGGCUGUGGUUCAUGAGUUAUCAGAUCUUGGCAAACAGUGGAUAAAAAAUCAUACAAAAGAACAAAAGCAAAUCUCACCUCUCAAGAACCAUAGUUGCAAUAUUGUUCUUCAGAAGAGGCCCACCGAGCCGAAGCCUGCGCUCAAAUGUGUGAUCACCAGUGCCUAUAAUAUUUCAGAAAAUGUAGAUUGAUUCAUUACAUGCGAGUAAAGGAAUAUUUUUUAUAUAAAAAAGAGGCACAGAUUUUGAUAAAAUGAAAGUAUACAUUUUUAGGCAAGAACAAGUUUAUGAUACUGCUUAGGCGUUCGUGAAUUAAUGAUACUUACAGUAAAAAUGACUAGUAAUUGUUCAAGUUUGGCACUUGGAAAGUUGGAAGCAAGAAAAUAAAAUAUCUUGAAGAUAAGGAGUUGUCAAAGAGGAAUGUUAAAGUUGGCAGUGCUAGAAAGCCAGCAGACAAUACAUCCAUAUAGCAUUCCACUAGCAAAAACCUUUUAAAAAUGUGAAAUGCAUACAAGCCAAACAGUCAUAUCAGAAAAGGUUUUCAUAACCUAUGCAGCAUUAGGGAACAAAUAAAGAAACUACAAAAUCAUGUACCUGCAAGAUGGACCACACAUGACAUCUUCUCAGGUGUAACAUUUUUAGGGGUAAGAAAAGCAACUCUUGCAUUGUGACUCUCAAGGGGCAAUGCGCCAAUUAGUCGCUCAUCACAUGUAGUCCUGAAAACACCUUCUCGCAGACAAGAACUGUUUGUCUCCCAUACUGUUUUCCACAUUGGCUGCACAGCAGUUGGUGGCCAGUUUUGGCAACGUGCCUCCGGAAACAACUGCUUCACCAUCUUUUCUAGCAAAUCAAGUUUGGUACCUCCCCAUCCUUUUGAGAAAAAUGGUGUUCCUAGUUUGGUGCGAUGAAGAAGAGUUCCAUAUAUGUGGUCCAGUACAUAAUGCACUAACCCAAUAUUAACUGAUACCAUGUCCAACCACUGGUUAAAUAAACCUGAUUCUCCAAACCUCCUUUUUAUAAAUUAUAAUUACAAGACCAAGAUAUGCCUGCAACACAAAAUUAACAAGAAUCAAGGUUUAACAUACUUUGCGAAAUUCAAUGCAGAAGGAACACUUAACAGGACAGUCUGCAGCAUAUCAGUCACAGUCACACAGUGGAGGCUCACACAGUUGUUUUUUGACAAUUGUCGACCCAAAACUUUUUUGCAGGUUAUAUUCAGAGAACAAAUUGGCUACUUCAAUGGGCGCAAUUACAACGGGAUGAAGCCAAUAAGCAGCACAUUUUCCAAGUCUGUCAAAUGCUAGAGGCAAUGGCAAUGGAUUUUUCUGUGUCCUUUGUAUGGCCUUAUAAUUUAAGAAUUGCAUUUUGAGUGUGACAUUUGUGUGGUUACAAAAUACUGUAAUAAGUGGUCUGAUUAUCUUGGAGACAAGAUAUGAAGCCAGAUUUAUUUCCAUUAUCUAAAAAAGAUAGGGCAUAGCAACACAAAUUAAGCACUCAACAGAUAUAUAGAGCAGUGAGCUACAAAAGCUGUCCAGAUUUGGACACAACCAGAAACCAUAAUAAGAGUAGAGAACUGCUAAGGGACAAAGCCAAACUAGAAUGGUCGAUUCUGAAAUUGGAAUGACCAACCAACACUUAGUGAAAUACAAACUACUGAACCAACCACCAAAUAUUCCGAGCAUUUCUUAAAAGGCAGAUGACAUGAGCUUUGAUACAUUUGGUGGCUCAAUGUCGUAGAUAUAAAGAAGGAAAACAUUUCUUUAUUUGAAGCAUGCUUGCUUGUGUCGACCCAUUUCAAUUAGACAUGACAGUUGCGACCUUAUAAUUUCAGAAUUGAGUUUUGAGUGAGACAUUUGUGUGGUGUAAUAAGUGGUCUGAUUAUCUUGGAGACAAGAGAUGAAGCCAGAUUUAUUUCCAUUAUCUAAAAAAGAUAGGGCAUAUCAACACGAAUUAAGCACUCAAUAGACAUAUAGAGCGGUGGGCUACAAAAGCUGUCCAGAUUUGGAUACAACCAGAAAACAUAAUAAGAGUAGAGAACUGCUAAGGGACAAAGCCAAACUAGAGUGGUUGGUUCUGAAAUUGGAAUGACCAACCAACGUUAGUGAAAUAUAAACUACUGAACCAACCAGAAAAUAUUCCAAACAUUUCUUAAAAGGCAGAUGACAUGGGUUUUGAUACAUUUGGUGGCUCAAUGUCGUAGACAUAAAAAAGGAAAACAUUUCUUUAUUUGAAACAUGAUUGCUUGUGUUGACCCAUUUCAACUAGACAUGACAGUUGAUUCCAAGGAAUAUCAGAACUAGUGAACUAGUCAAAGCUUGUGUACCACUUCCAGGAGAGCGAGAAUUCUACACUUUCACUUGAGGGCAAUUCAGGAUAAUGUAGCAUCAUUUCAUCUCAUGCAGGUACUACAACCACAGUGAGAACAAUUUUUGCACAUAGGAACGCAACUAAUUGAGGUAGAUCCAGAACAAAUCCGAUUAAGCUCGCUAAAAACGUCCGGAAGAUGCAAUGCAGGUGCUCAGAUGUCCUCUUCCCAGCACGCACAUAACAUCAACACACGCUGAUUUCGAAAUUAUUGGUUGUCCAGAAGGUCGCACCUUGAGAUGAACGCGACGGGGUGCCAGCGACGACGAGACGGCAGAAGACCGCCAGCGCACCUCGGCAGCCGGCGGAACACGAAUACCAGUCCGACACACUCGGUACCAAACCACCGCGCGCGAAGGGGAGUGGUAUAAGGACAAUCCGGGGGGCAAGAUCCACGGCGGAUACCGCGACAGAACGCGGGUGGUGGGUGGGCGGCGCGACACGAGCAGAAGGACCUCGCCAAGAAACCAAGAAGACGACGGGUGGGAGCUGGAUCGCACGAGCCUGGCUGCACGGUUCGCGUUCUCUCUGUCUGGUCCAGGAGCUCCACGGAUUCCUUGUGCACGGCUCAACCCGUCAAGGCGUCAACCGAAGAAGAAGAGGAGGAAGAAACCGGUGGGCGACGACCGCGGGGAUGGGGAGGUGACGGCGCCGUGGCUUGCUUUCGCUCCCCGGAUCUGAUUCGGGGGGCGGAUGCUCGAUUUCUGCCGUGUGGGCCACCGUGGGGCCCGGGGAGCAGGGACAGGCGGAGUGCGCUGUCCGCAGGGCCGUUGUCUUUUGGUGGCAACGCCAACGGCGGCCGGGGCCCGGGGGUACGUGGCGGCCGGAUAAGGUGGGUCCGAUGUCGAGGUGGCGGUGCUAGUCGGAGCUGAAUGGGGCUGAUUUGGCCCGGACUUGCAAAUUAGACCCAAUUUCGUGUUUGCUAGCAUUUUAGGGCUGUGGCUGUGGCUCAAGCAACUGCCUGGCGCCGCGCUAGCUCCACAGAGAGGUGGAGUGAGAAAUAUAUUUGUUUAGGAGUCAACAAUCUUUAAAAUAAAUAAAUUAAGGGUCUGUUUAGUUCUCAGAAUGUAAAAUAUAAAAUAUUAAUUAUUUUGGAAUGAUGAAAUAUAAAAUGCUAAAAUUUUUAGAGUUAUGUUUAGUUCUAUCAAAAAUGUAGAAUUUAUUGCUCUUUUGAACUUUUUUGGCCUCUUGAGGCCAAAAUCCAAAAUGAAGAAUGGUAACCAUUUUACCAAAAUUUUUACAUAGUGUUUAGUUCCAUUAUACGAAAUAAUAUACCAAAACCUUUUUUUGGAUAGAAGGGAACUAAAUACCUCCUAAAUAACUGGACGGGUUAACGUACCCGGCCUCGUUUAGUUUAAGGUGUUUUGGGGCGUCAUAUCAGUUGUCAUAUAGGGUUGUUGCAUGGGAUCUAAAUAAAAAAUAAAUAAAUUAUAAAAAAUACAGAAUCUGUUAAUAAACCGCAAGACGAAUUUAUUAAGCCUAGUUAAUCCAUCAUUAGUACAUGUGUUAGCAUAACACUCUAUUGUCAAAAUUAUAGACUAAUUAGACUUAAAGAUUUAUCUCGCAAAGUAGUCGUAAUCUGUGUAAUUAGUUAGUUUUUAGUAUAUAUUUAAUACUCUAUGCAUGUUCAAACAUUUGAUGGCUGUGUAAACUUUUUAGCAAGGAACUAAACAAGGUCGCCCCACCGCCGCCCGCCGCCCUGUGGUGGCAAGCUAGGGUUUCGCCACAGCUUCGCGGCCAUGGCCAUGGCCUUGGAGCUCCAGCGAAACACUAGCUCACCGGCGGCGCCACCUUCUUCCCCUUCCCUCGCCCCUACCGUCACUACCUUGGCCAUGGUGCCCCUGCCCCUCUACUUGGCCCGGACGCCUCCACGUCGCCAGGGCCUCUAAACUGCACGCGCGACAUCCCCACCGCAUGGGCGGUCUUCCUCCCCAAAUCGCCUUUCCUUCUAAGGACACUAUAAUUUGGGAAGAAGAGAGGGAAAGCUUGCUGAAACCCUAAUGUGGAGGAGGAGGAGGAGGAGGAGGAAGAGGAGGAGGAGGAGGAUAAGAAGAAGAAGGAGGAGGAGGAGGAGGCCUACCUCAGCGGAUCCGCCAUAGCCAGCGAGCUCAACGCGGGUGGGGCGCGAGCACGGGCAUGAGGAGGCGGUGGGGUGUGAGCGAGAGAGGACACCACCGGGAGGAGCUCGCCGGUCACCGGAGAGAGAGAGAGAGAGGGCGUGCAAGUAGAGAGAGAGAAACCAACAUGGACGUGCAGGUGAGUGAUGAAGGAAGUGUGCACGUGUCUAGACUUCUUUACCGUCAUGCGUAAAGAAGUCAUUAACUUAAUGAAACUUUAAUAAUUUUAAUAAUAACUAUAUGGACUUAUGUCUCGCCCUCUCCCUCCCUCGUGGAUGACCACUAUUCAAAUAGGCAUUUUAUACAAAAAUGAUGCAGGAGGGUCUGUGCAACGUGAUGGUUCUUUAACUUUAACAGAAACAUUUAUCCACAUGGCCUUGGUACGAUGAAUUGUUAUAGUCCAUCAUUUUCUCACUUUUUGUUUUUAUUUUGGUUUGUAUGAUAAAAAAAGUUGAGCCAUUACUAGUUGUACUAUUUUGUUCGUCAUAAGCUAAUAUUUAGUACUCUCUAGUCAAGAUUAUAAGUCGUUUUUUUAGAUUGAAGAUUAUAAAUCGUUAAUAUAUAUCUAAAUACAGAGCAAAAGUCAUGUAUGGUUCUCCUGGAUAUGUAUGGUUCUGCCACAGCUUAGAGACAACUUCAGGGAUAUGUAUGGUUCGCUCCAGCCACAUGACGUUACAAGCAUGAGUAUUUCCUUCGGCAGAGGAUGUCAGGAGACGUAUUCUUAUCUCUAUCAACCAAUGUUUACUAUAAAUUGAGAUUCUAGAAUCAUGAUGAUCAAUCCUUUUUUUUCUUUUUUUCAACCGCUAUAUAUUAGUUGUGUAGCUUUCUUUCUUCUCAUUGAAUAUCUGUCUACACAAAUAAUUCUUAUGAGGGGUUUGCUACUUGAUUGCUUUAUCAACAUCACGGUCACCUCUUCCCGAUCCAAGGAAACACAUCUAAUAGGCCUACGGAGCUAGCCUAAUGCAUGGCAGUAGCGAAGGUAGAGGAUAUUAAAAAUGGUGAACUUUGCUUAUGAGUGUAUAGACUUUUGUCAUAGAAGGGUACAUAUAUAGUAAAAAUUUGAUCAUUAUAAUUGUCUUUUGAAAUUUUAGGGACACCCCCUAGUCACACUAUAGCUUCGCCCCUAGUGUAUCAUAUUGAUCAUUCCACGACAAUAUUUUCUCCAUCAUAUCGGAUAAUAACCACACGCCACAAACAAAAUAAUGCUAGGAGAUAUACUCAUCAUCAUAAUAAACAUCACCUCAUAUAGAAUAGAAUGGUUUCUCAAACCAGACUCCCCUUUUAACCAUGACCGAUCUAUUUGUCAGUCUUCAGAUUGGCAAACCAGAGUAGGUACAAGCUGCCACGGUCUAAUCUUUCUGAAUGUGAGUAACAUCGUGCACACUGUAACGGUGGCACACGACAAUCGGUCAGUGCAUUCCUAGUGUCGUCGAUCAAUCUGAGGAAUGCGUGCAUAGAUGGAUGCACCUGCCUCUGAACAUCCAGCAGAUAAGGAAAACGGGGAAACAGGAUCAGUCAGAGAUGCCAUGCAUCCAACAGAUAAGGAAAACGGGGAAACAGGAUCGGUUAGAUGCCAUGCAUGUCCAGCAAGCAAAGCGAACCAGAGCCGGCAAAUGGAUGGACAUGCCAUGCCAUGCCAUGUCCUGCAAACGGCAGCAGCGUGCCGAGAUCAGAAAGACGGCGAUCGGCGGCGCACGACCUUGCCUUGCCGCAAGUGGCCUCUGGGUUCAGCUCAGGUCAUUCUGGUGAUCCACGAUUCCAUCCAUCAUUCCAUGCACAGAACAGAACGGCCGGCCCAGGUUGGUUGUAGCCUGACGCAUCCGCUCUCCCGCGGCUUCCGUUGCGAGCCCCCGGCAAGUGGCCAUCGUUAUACUUCGUCAGUGUAGGAUCGCUCGCUCGCUCGCCACCUCGCCGAGUAGAGGAGCAACCGGAAGAGGGAGAGGGAAGGCCUGUGUGGCGUGCGACGUGACGCGGACGCGCCACUCGCCGCCGUCGCCGUCGGCGUCGCGGCGGUGGCGUGCAAGCAAACAAGCGUCGAGCGGUGGCCAAGCCAAUGAUGGAUUGGAACGGGCAGCCAGAUUGAGGAGGAGGACCCCUGAUGAUGGGCAUCCGCACUCCGCAUUCGGCUUGCCGCUCUUGGGGGUCCAAGAAUCCCCUAUAAAUCCGUCCGCUCUCCCCGAUGAGGGGGGGAAAAAAUUACCCGGCACAAGUGUCAGUUGUUCAGUACUUGGUAGUCCGUAGUCGGUCCACUUCAUCUAUCACUAUCAGCUUGCGAGGAGAGGAAAAAAGGUCGUCUUCUCCAAUCUUUGGCUGUCUUGCCAAUGGCUUUCCGGGCAAUCCUUGGCUGACUCGACGGUCGUUUGAUGCGUUGUCGCCAUUUCUUGAUGCUUCUCCUCUUCGCGCCUGUCAUCAGGUAUUAAAGGUCUGGGGGUGUUGGAGGCUUUCGCUAAUGCGGUGGGUGUGCAUCGACUGAGGAGUGGGUGGUGGUACUGGGUACUGAGCGGUUCUUGCAAGAAAGGGGGUCAUGGCGCGAGCGCCGAGCGUGCCGGCAGCGACGGCCGUGGGGAUCGUGGUGCUGCUGACCGCCGCCGCCGCCGCCGCCUUCCGCGGCGCGGAAGGGAAAUCGUGCACGAACGCGUUCCCGGGAUUGACCUCGUCGCACACGGAGCGCGCGGCGGCGCAGCUGCAGCGGGGGCCACCGGCGACGGCGCUCCAGCCCGUCGUUCACCGCCACGGCCACGACCACGACCACGGGCACGAGCAGCACCUCACCCCGACCGACGAGUCCACCUGGAUGUCGCUCAUGCCGCGGCGAGCGCUGCGGCGCGAGGAGGCGUUCGACUGGCUCAUGCUCUACCGCAAGCUCCGGGGAGCCACCGCCGGCGGCGCGCCGCGCCGGCCCGGGGUUGCGGCGGGGACGUUCCUCUCCGAUGCGUCCCUGCACGACGUGCGGCUGGAGCCGGGCAGCCUGUACUGGCGAGCCCAGCAGACCAACCUGGAGUACCUGCUCCUCCUGGACGUCGACCGCCUCGUCUGGAGCUUCCGCAAGCAGGCCGGCCUGACGGCGCCGGGGACUCCCUAUGGCGGGUGGGAGGGCCCUGACGUCGAGCUCCGGGGACACUUUGUUGGUACGCUGCCGGAUCUCAGUUUGGCUUCAAUUUUGGAGCAUUUGUCCAGAACAGCUGCGCAGCUAGACUGAAUGUCAGUGUCUUGCUGUUGUUCUUCUCAGGGCAUUACCUGAGUGCUACUGCAAAGAUGUGGGCUAGCACACACAAUGAUACUCUGAAUGCAAAAAUGUCAUCGGUCAUCGACGCGCUCUCCGAUUGCCAGAAGAAGAUGGGCACAGGGUACCUGUCGGCCUUCCCGACGGAGUUCUUCGAUAGGGUUGAGGCCAUCAAGCCUGUCUGGGCUCCUUACUACACAAUCCACAAGGUGAAAACUUGUCAAAGGCUGUUUCCGUUUCGACUUCUUGAUUAAUAUGUAAAUGUUGUCACCGGUUGAGUGAGUCUAAUUUCUGGUUUGCAGAUUAUGCAAGGCCUUCUUGAUCAGUACACAGUGGCUGGGAAUUCCAAGGCUCUUGACAUGGUGGUAAACAUGGCUAAUUAUUUCAGUGACCGUGUGAAGAAUGUCAUACAGAAAUAUAGCAUUGAGAGGCACUGGGAAUCUCUCAAUGAGGAGACUGGUGGGAUGAAUGAUGUGCUCUAUCAGCUCUACACGAUAACGGUGAUUUGCUAUUUGUUACAAACUUAGAAUUGUAGCAUAGGUUAAUACAGUUAUGUCUAGCUCAUACUCUUCCUUUCUAUUAAUUGGCCAGAAUGAUCUGAAGCAUUUGACACUAGCUCAUCUCUUCGAUAAGCCAUGCUUUCUUGGGCUGCUUGCAGUUCAGGUAUGCUGAACACUGAUCUGGUUUCCUAAUUGUGAAUCUUCAGCUAUUUGGUGAUAGAUAUGGAUUAUUUAUGUCUAAUUUACAAUAAAUGUCUAAAAUAGAACUUAACCAGUUUUCAUCUUUAACUAUGUUAAGACCUGUGAUUGCUAACUUCAAUCUAAUCCUUUUAUCACCUGGUGACCACUACAGUACUACAUGUACAUCAAGCACAUUUUUAAUUAUGCCACCACCCAGCUGCUAUUAUCAUGGAAACUGAACCUGGGUUCCUAGUACUGGGCUUUAUUUUUUAUAUUUUUUGAACGCAAUAGUACUGGGCUUUAUCAAUGGAUUAAAACUACUGUUCCUCUUGAAGGAUUUUCAUUUGACUGAACAGCCUUUGUGUGUGUAUGUGUUUCAUUUCAGGCUGACAGUAUUUCCGGCUUCCAUUCCAACACACACAUUCCAGUUGUCAUCGGUGCGCAAAUGAGGUAUGAAGUUACUGGAGAUCCUCUUUACAAGGUAAAAUUCAAUUAUAUCUUAUUACUAGAGUUUGAGUAUUCCAUUUUCACAGACAGUUAAUGUUCUUAUCAGUUUUGAUUAUGAUGCCAGUCACUUUUCAUAAGGGGGAACAGGUGGACUAUUUUACUUUCUUCCCUUAGAAGUAUACUUGUUAGCUUAAGAAAAAUCAAAGAUAUGCAUCACUUGCUGCUAUUAGUAAACUUUUGCAUGUCUACGACUCUGCAUCUGAAGAAGUACCAACUUGUCUUCUUUUUCUCAUUGGGUCUGUGCCAUUUGGGUGAAGCUGACCAUAAGCCUCAUUUUGAAACAGCAAAUUGCAUCAUUCUUUAUGGAUACAAUAAAUUCUUCCCAUAGCUAUGCAACUGGUGGCACAUCUGCUGGUGAAUUCUGGUAUAGCUUCUAGGUGCCUGAUUUACUGAUGUCCAUAGUAUAUACACAACUACGUUUCAGAAAGCACUUAUGCUCUUAACUGGUUUUCAGGACCGAUCCAAAGCAUUUAGCUGGGACUCUGAGUACUGAGAAUGAGGAAUCUUGCACCACCUACAACAUGCUUAAGGUUGACAAUCAUCAAACCACCUAAUACAUAUAUGCCCUUGUUUAGAUAUGUGUCAUAUGCAGCCUAUGUGCAGAUUUCUCGCAACCUAUUCAGAUGGACAAAGGAAAUAGCAUAUGCAGAUUACUACGAAAGGGCAUUGAUAAAUGGUGUUUUGAGCAUUCAAAGGGGGACAGAUCCUGGUGUGAUGAUUUACAUGCUACCACAGGCCCCUGGACACUCUAAGGCUGUGAGUUAUCAUAGUUGGGGAACAAAGUACGAUUCAUUCUGGUGUUGUUAUGGGACAGGUAAUAUAAAAAAUCACCAACAUCUAUCUGUGCUGACUUGAUGUGAUCAUUCCACACUAAUUUCCGUGCUUGAUUUCAGCCAACUGUUCCUCUUAUUUUGAUUCCAUAAGCUGAAGGCAGUGUCUAGCCCCUUCAUUUUUACCUCUUUGCUUUGCGUCUGUAAAAAUUGGGGUUGCAAUUAUUUUUGAGCUUAUUGUUUGUUUCAAAAUAUUAUGAUUCCCAUCUGCAGGUAUAGAAUCCUUUUCAAAACUUGGUGAUUCUAUUUACUUUGAGGAGAAAGAAGAUUUGCCUGCACUCAAUAUCAUUCAGUACAUACCAAGUACAUACGACUGGAAAGCAGCAGGGCUUAUUGUUACUCAGAAAGUCAACACCCUCAGCUCUUCUGACCAGUAUCUUCAAAUUUCACUCUCCAUUUCUGCAAAGGUAAUUAUUUUCAAUUCUUUAUACGUUAAAUUCAGAAAAAAUAUCUGCAGUCACUACAUUUGUUUUCUAUUUGUUCAGACAAAAGGUCAGACUGCCAAAUUGAAUGUUAGAAUUCCAUCAUGGACAUUUGCUGACGGUGCAGGAGCAACUUUAAAUGACAAAGAUUUGGGGUCGAUAUCUCCAGGUAAAAUCAUUAUGUUGUGUCUAACAUUCAAAUUACAUUUGAUCUUCUAAGGCCACCUCAUUACCUGAUCUUAUUAUGUGGGCAGGAUCUUUCCUAUCAAUCACCAAGCAGUGGAACUCAGAUGAUCACUUAGCACUACGCUUUCCCAUCAGGUUGAGGACUGAAGCAAUUAAAGGUAACUCAUGAAGUUUCACCCAAUCCAAGAUUGAAGGAUGAAUUGGUUAACUUAUCUCAUAUAUUAUAUUUCAUCAUGAUAACCAGUGGUUGUAAUAAAAUACAUAUAGGACGCUAGUAGAAGUAACAGAUUUUGCUCCCAUGUGUGCUAAUAUUGAGAUUUUUGUAUACCGAGAAUCUUGAACUGAAUAUUAACUGCUAGCUAUCCCUUCAGAUGACAGACCGGAGUAUGCAUCUCUUCAAGCAGUCCUGUUUGGACCAUUUGUUCUUGCUGGCCUAUCCACCGGUGACUGGGAUGCAAAAGCUGGCAAUGGCAGUGCAAUUUCAGAUUGGAUCACCGCUGUCCCUCCAGCGCACAACUCACAGCUGGUAACCUUCAGUCAAGUAUCAAAUGGGAAAACAUUUGUCCUCUCAAGCGCAAAUGGGACCCUGACAAUGCAAGAGCGACCUGAAGUUGAUGGCACUGACACUGCCAUCCAUGCAACAUUCAGGGCACAUCCUCAGGACUCAACAGAGCUGCAUGACAUCUACCGAACAAUUGCAAAGGGAGCAUCGAUUCUGAUCGAACCAUUUGACUUGCCAGGAACAGUGAUCACCAAUAACCUCACUCUAUCUGCACAGAAGAGCACAGAUUGCCUCUUCAACCUAGUGCCCGGGCUUGAUGGGAAUCCUAACUCAGUUUCCCUUGAGCUUGGGACCAGACCAGGAUGCUUCCUGGUGACAGGCACGAAUUAUUCUGCGGGGACGAAGAUUCAAGUCAGCUGCAAGAGUUCCCUUGAGAGCAUUGGUGGGAUACUCGAGCAAGCGGCGAGCUUUUCACAAACUGAUCCAUUAAGGCAGUACCACCCAAUCAGCUUCGUUGCUAAGGGGAUGACCAGGAACUUCCUCCUUGAGCCAUUGUACAGUUUGAGGGACGAAUUCUACACGGUUUAUUUCAACAUCGGGGCCUGAGUCCUGAAACUUACACUUGCAGUAGAAAUAAUACAGAAUAAAUAAUGGGCGACCUUUUUCUUCUCAUACACUGUAGCUUAGAACAGCCAAUGAAAGAGUAAAUGAGUUGUUUCAUGUGUAUUCCUCGCAUAUAUUCACUUAUGUGAAAUCACUUAUUAUGCAAUACCAAGCAAUUCAUACCCCGCUUCUUCUACCAUUUGAGUAAGGAAGUUAUUUGUGAUAACGUGGAAAUUUUGUUUUUAGUAAGAGUUAUUUUUGCUGAUGACUACGCCAUUGAUGAGUAACUGAAGGUGCUUUGGUUCACAUUCAGUAUUUUAACUCUUGGUUACUGAAGGUGCUGCUAAAAUGUUUCAUCCUGCAGUGCUCCAUUGUCUAUCCUGAAUCCUGGCUGCUAUCUGACUAGUGGCAGGGUAAAAAAAAAUGCCAUUUCUGUGUCUGAUUUGCAUCUAGAUAACCCCUGGUUCACUGGUUGAGACCGAGCAUUGCAACUGUUUUCGUCAGGCAGUUCUAUAGUAUACUGAACGGAGCAGUUAACAACAGCUAGGUCCAUAAAAUACGUCUACAGCUACAGAGACGGGAGGACGACAAAGCUGAGAUCCUAUCCAUUCUCCCAUAAACAACGAAGGAAUCUCACGGCGAUCAGACUUCUCUAUCAUUGCUUGCAUUCUUUAUAUCAUCGCAGCUGAACACCCGGCAGAAGAGUUGCUCAAUGUUCCCAUCAUGUCUAAAGAGACCCACCCACAAAUUGAGGGAGGAAAAUAUUUCAUACCCAGCACAAGAAUAUUAUUUCGUACAAAUCAUUAUCUUCUUUGCAAGUGACAAUCAUACAAAAAUCAAGCUGUUUAGACUAGUUCCAAUUCUUUGCAGGUGACAAUCAUACAAAACAAAUUACGCGUGUUCCAAUCACAUGUGGAAAGGCCAGUUGCAUGUUCCCAUUGUACACGCUAGGAGAUUGCAGAAUAUGAAAUGUCCCUUUGCAGCCUUGCUUGAGAAUUCAAGUCGCCUAGAGUGUGAACAUUCACCAUGAAAUUGCGCUUGUGUAGACUGUAUGGAAUGCAGAUUCAGUAUACCCAACGACCAAGAUGCAUCGUCCUGAUACAAAAUCACAACUAUGGAACAAACAUGAUUUUGAAGUGCAUUGUUUAUCAACAAGAAUCCUAGUUCAUUGCACCCUUGAAUCUACAUCCGCUGAAGCAGCUGAAUAAAUGCUAGCAGGUUGCAUCCUCAAAGAACAAAUAGCAAGAUCAGUUGAUUGGUCAAAAGCUUCACAUAUGGCCAAUUACUUGAACAUAAACAUUAAGUGUAUAGUACAGCACUGGCCAGGUAACCACCAUGACCCCCUUUCGGCUUCUGGUCCUCUGAAUGAAAUAACAAGAGCACAACAAUUGAAUGCAAAGCAGUUGACUGAAUGUGAAGUC
rnacentral:lncRNA from 1 species